rnacentral:rRNA from 1 species
GAUGAGUCCGCGUACCAUUAGCUAGUUGGUAGGGUAAUGGCCUACCAAGGCGACGAUGGUUAGCUGGUCUGAGAGGAUGAUCAGCCACACUGGAACUGAGAUACGGUCCAGACUCCUACGGGAGGCAGCAGUGAGGAAUCUUGCGCAAUGGGGGAAACCCUGACGCAGCAACGCCGCGUGAGUGAGGAAGGCCUUCGGGUCGUAAAGCUCUGUCAGGUGGGAAGAAACGCAUAAAGGUUAACAGCCUGUAUGCUUGACGGUACCGCCAAAGGAAGCACCGGCUAACUCCGUGCCAGCAGCCGCGGUAAUACGGGGGGUGCAAGCGUUGUUCGGAAUCAUUGGGCGUAAAGAGCGUGUAGGCGGCUCGAUAAGUCAGAUGUGAAAGCCCUGGGCUCAACCCAGGAAGUGCAUUUGAAACUGUCUUGCUUGAGUACGGGAGAGGGAAGAGGAAUUCCUGGUGUAGAGGUGAAAUUCGUAGAUAUCAGGAGGAACACCGGUGGCGAAGGCGACUUCCUGGCCCGAUACUGACGCUGAGACGCGAGAGCGUGGGGAGCAAACAGGAUUAGAU